UCUUCUGUAUUUAUUAACCUGACCUUUCGGGUUUGAAGGGGUAACUUUGCGAUUUGGCCCUUGAUUAUUUACAACUAAGGGCCUCGUGUUAUUUACCCGCACUGUUAAGUCCCCGGUUAACUUUGUUAAUUAUUCAGAAAGCCUUAACUUUCAUUGUUGACGCUUUUAACCCUUCUCGUACGAAUUUGAUCAUAACUUUCUCGUUUUAAAACGGAACUUCGCGGAAUUUAUAUAGUAUAUUCUAGUGAGCGUAUUUUACUGUUACAAAGCCUCGGGCACGUCAAAGGGUCACUCAGAGGUAUAAUUAAACAUGUUGACACAGUUAACCCCUGUAGCUUGUAAUCUCUCACUUUCUUCCGCGUUUCGCUUCCGUACGAUCCAUGAUUUAUUCGUUUGAAGGUACGAGCACCAUUUAGGGUUACUAUACAGUAUACUUACCCUUGUUUGACAUUUAUAACCCUUGAAUUUACAUACUUUCAAGGUUUGUCAACAUUAGUCCUUUAUUAAAUAUAAUAUGCCACGUGUAAACUUAAGACACGUGUCAAUACAUUAUUGGACAAAAAUUUCGAGGUGUUACAUUAUUAUUUAUGCGGACACGUGUCUUCUUUAUAAACGAGGUAGUUCGACACAAAAGCUUUUAACGAAUUGAAAUUUGAGCUCGAGCUAAACUCCUCUAUUUUUUUAAAAUAAUUUGUAAACUUUGUAUUUAUUGCACUCACCUUGGCUUAAAUUUUAGAUAAGCCAACUUGGCUCGACUUGUUUAUCUACGACAUGAUCU
rnacentral:lncRNA from 1 species